rnacentral:lncRNA from 1 species
GGACAGAAUAUCAUCUUACUUUGUCAUGAAAACUUAGUUAUAUAAAAUACAGAAGAUUAGAUGUUACUACCAAAAUGUAUCAAAGAAUCAAAUUCGAAGUCUUAAUAUUUUUUCAAUAAGAACCAUACAAAAACUGUGAAUAUAGUAUUACUAUCCAUCAAAAAAUAAUUUUGAGACAAUCGAAUUCAAAAUUACUCCAAUCAAUAGACCAUUGAACAAGUCAAUUACUCACAAUUUAUUUAAUCCAAUCAAAUUCAAUACAAUAAUCAAUAUCAACUAUUAUUUAUAUUAAGUCAUUCAAAACAAAACCACAGGAUUUGUAUAUUUUUGCUUUAUACUUUUUACAGUAAUAAGUAUCAUUACAGAUAUUUGUAUUUUCAUAUUUCAAUUUUUGUUUUGGAUUAGCAUGUGUUAUACUAAUAACACACACACACACACACAUAUAUGUAUAAAUAUAUUUUGUACGCUGCUUAGACAUGUUUGCAUUUUGUUUUAUUAUUAUAUUGUACAUUGUUGUAUAUUAAAAAUGUGCUUUCAAAACAAAAUAAAGCCUUAAUGCUUCUAUGUAUAUAUAGGUAGAUGUAUGAAACUUGUGUUGUUGAGCACACAAAUAAUAACACUAAAUACAAUGCAUGGAUUGUAAAACAAGUCCCUCCCAACUCCCUGCCAUGCUUUAUUCCUAUAGCCGCAUCAACCGUCAGUCAUUGCUUUCUUCAUAACUUCACUUCGUAUAGACAAUCAAUGGCCCACAAAAAAGUGUUUUCAAUGUGAAAGUGAAGCUUGCACGUUCAAAUUUCUCACAAUUAGAGGCACCAUCAGCAUUGCACACACAUCUUCAAAUGAUUUGCUUCUUUUUCCCCCUUCACACAAAAGUUUUCCAUUUCCCAUGCAGGCAAACUCCAUAUCACAAAAAAGUGCAUCAAAUCACAAAUACAUGAGAACCUCCCCAAAACACUCAUGCAACUCCCCAGUUUAUCUACCAUUCGAACUUAUUAUUCUUCUUAUUGAUUAUUAUUGUUAUAAUGACAUAACCCAGUUAUUCGAUGCUUCAAUCACUGCUCAACUGCGCCGACAUGAGAAUGCAACCCUGCAUCGUCUGGGUGGAGAAGGACGACCUACCCACAAAAAGCGAAGCCUUCCAAGGCCACGCCUUGAUGCACAACCAGUUUCUUCUUCUUCUUCUUCUUCUUCUUCAUGCAGUCCAGCGUCCGCUUCACCGCAAUGCAGAAGAAGAUGAAGAAGAAGAGAUAGACAGUUAGAUAGAUAGAAAAAUGCAAAUGAGAGAAGGAAAGAGAGGGAGGGAGAAAGGAUUCAUUCAUGCAUGCAUUCAUUCUUUCUUUCUCUCUCUCUCUCUCUCUCUCUCUCUGACAUUCACUAUCUGAUCAUGUGUGGUCGUCCUUUGCUUUUGCUUUUGAGAGUGAGUGAGAGUGAGAGAGCAGUGAGUGAGUGAGUGAGAGAGUGACAAGGAUGGAUCGAUCGAACAGGGCUAACCAGGCGUUCUGGGUCUUCACUGCGAUCAGCGUUGGUCCACCAGACGGGAACGGAGGGGAGGGGGGUUCAAAUCACCAGGACAAUGAUUACGGGUCGCGUCACAAUCGCUCUUUUGACUCUUCAGGUCUCGAGAUCACCAAACUCGCCUGCUGCUACUGCUACUGCAACCAGGCAAGGCAAUGCAAUGCAAGGCACGGCAGUAGUAGCAGGAAACCAGCAGCAUCAGCAUCAGCGCACACGCUGAUAAUUCAACUCUUUCGACUCCUCCUCUUCUGAGCGCUCUGCUCUGCAUACAUGCAGACAUCCGCCUUUUUCCCGGACUCCCAUUCAUCCAAAAGUUGCGGCCGCGAGCACUAAUCACACCACUUCCGCGCAUCGAGAUCCAUGCCGGUUAUUAUAUACCCCCCCCCUUAUUUUCCUCGUCAAUAUUACACCCCCAGGUCGCGGGCUCUGCAGUGAAAUCUCCGCGCCGCGAUGAGAAGUCUUUCCAGGUGCCUAGAUCCGCGGUUCUGCGCCUCGCGUUGAGGGUCGUGCCCCCACUAGGUCUACCUGCCGCGGCGGACAAAGCCACCAACCGGACGUGUGCAGUAAAUUCGGUGGGGCUUCGUGAGACAGAGAGAGAGAGAGAGAGAGAGAGAGAAUGUAUGUGAAUGUAUGUGUGAGAGAGAGAAUGUAUGUGGGUGUGUAUGUGAAGAGAGGGUAAUUGUAGCUUCUCAAUAAGGAUCCUCCUGUCUCUCUCGCUCUCUGGUGUGGAGAAACAGUGAUGGUAUGGCCGUGUGUGAUGGCUGUCCCAAACGAGGUUGAUGGGAUGGUUGUUGUGACGCAGCCGCGUCUGUGAGCGAGUUGCGCAGAGCAACGACCAGCGGCGGAGAUCGUGGCUUGCUGUGAAGAUCACAUAUUGUUUGCAAUGGAUGAUAUUAAUUAACAAAAACCUGGUAAACCCGCAGCCCCACGGUUUAGGGGAAUGGGGGCCAUGCCAGCGUGCGUGCGUGCGUGCGUCUCGCGUUACUGAGAGAGAGAUUGCGGGCGUCGUCGUCCUCGUCCCAUGCGUUGUCCCGCUGCUCCAUGCGCCUCGCGAUCGCUGUGCGUCGGAGUCUCUCCACCCCAAUUCAUCGCGGCCCCUGUUCUUUUUAUUCCUGUUUUUGUUUUUCUUCAUUGCCAUGAUCUUCGUCGUCGUCGUCGUCGUCGUCGUCGUCGUCAUCGCCAAAGCGAUUGAGCUUCCACGUGGGCUCUGACCACAAGACGCCGGCGUGGGAGGGGACAAGACUCUCUCGCUCCCCUCUCUUCCAGACUCGGCCGUUCCCAUCACUGGUUACGUUCUUUCACAUGUUUUCAGAUGAUUAAUAACACAAUCAGCUAUGUGAAAUCAAAACCGUGUGUAUGUGUGUACAUAUAUAUGUAUAUAUAUAUAUAUAUAUAUAUAAUUAAAACAAUAUAAAUGUAUAUAAAAAUGUAGUUUUACUACCAAAAAUUUCAGUUUUUGAUAUAGAAUAUAUAAUGUAAUUAUAUUUAUAUAAGAAGUAUUGUUUUAUGAAUUUUAUCAUAUGAUACAUAAUUUCCAAACAACCAAAAAAGAUGCGUAAUUUUUUUUUUUUACUUUUUCAAGGAACUGUUGUUAAGCAUUUUUUUCAUUUUCAUUACAUAUUACAAAUACCAUGCAUUGUUAAAAUGAAUUACUUGUUUAUUUAGCAUCCUAGAGACUCCUCAUUUAUAUAUAUAUAUAUAUAUAUAUAUAUAUAACUUGUUAUGGUAAAUGACUGAUUUUUAUAUAUAUAUAUAUAUAUAUAUAUAAAUAUAUAUAAUUGUCUUACCAAUAAUUAAUGAAUAUUUUAAGAACCAAUUUUUUCAUUGAUGAGAAAUUGACAUUCUCUAAAGUUAAAUUAAAAGCUAAUUCUUAUUGACUUUUAUUAAUUAACAAAGGCAAUUAACAAAGGUUGUGUGGUUGGAACGGCCACAUAGUUAUAUGUGAUUGGGCAAGGCAAGGCUAUGUGGCAAGUAGGACCAUAUGACUAGUAAAGUGGAAACAAGCAAUCUAGGUUGUACAUCCCUAGCAAGAAUGAUUUCUAUCAUGCCUUCAACAUACCACUUCUAAUGAUUAAUAACCUCAGAUUAUUAAUUUUUUUUUGCAAUAGAUGAUACUAAUUAACAAAAGAAAUAUAUAUAUACAUACAAAGAUUGUUGUAUUUUUAUACACAAAAAAAGAGUUAAUAAUUUUUUUUUCAUUUUUAUUAUUUGGUAAGUAACUAUACUAAGCUAUAAGAUUUUAGUAUUAAAUUUGUGUAUACAUUUAUUUUUUAAGCAUUAAGAAAUGACUCAAGUUUAUCAAUUUUUACUAAAAAAAUACCUUAUUUAGAAGAAAACAUCGUAUAUAUAUAUAUAUAUAUAUAUAAAGAUAUAUCACCAUAAUAUUGUAAUAGUCCACCAAAGCCAUCAUGUAGUCUCAUAAGAUAAACCUCUCCAACUUUUUAUAGUUAUUGGUGGUAGGCUAGUUUGAAACAUAUUUAUGUGAAAAAACAUUCAAUGUGUACAAUAAUAGUCUAUAUCUAAAGCUGGUAUAUCAAAUUAAUGUUCUUUAUUUUGUCUCUAUUAGACUUACUCUUCUUAAUUCUACAAAUAUUUUACCAAAUGGUACUUAAGAUUGUAUUUACAAUUCAUAUAUUUGAAAGAAAAAUAUAUUUUUUUAAUAAGUUUUAGUUAUAAAAAACUAGCUUUUAAUAUAUCAAAAUAUAAAACAAAAGAUGUUACUUUUACUAUUGUUUUAAGUAGAGAUUUUAAAUUAUAAAUGUGUUAAAACAUUUAAUUGAUUUUUAUUUAAAUGGACUAUAAGAUUUACUGCAAACUUGAAACAUGAUUUUUAUAUGUUUUGAACUUUUGUUUAUUUUGAUAUCAUUUGAUUAAUAUUCAGUUUUUAUUUUUAUUUUUUAAAAUAAGCUUUGUUAAUUCUACAUAGUCUAGAGAAUUAUCUUGUUAAUAGCCAAAAUUGCAUGAAGUUUAGACUCAACUUUUAAGAACAUAUAUUUUUUCAAAUAAAUGUUUACAAUGUAUCUAUAAAUUUAAAUUCUUAUAUUCAAAAAUAAAAGCUAUUAAGAAAAUUAGUAUCACAUGAUCUAUUUAUUCUUGGAUGUUUUAGUUAUUUCAAUUAAUAACUAAAGUUUCAAUAAUUAUAUAGAGACUUGCUAUUUUAGUUUUUAAAUGGUUAUUAUCCAAGGAUUUUCAUGCUUUCUUAAAUAAACAUAUAAGGUUAUGGAUAUUACAUAAUAUAAUAUCAAUGUAUAUAUAUAAAUAUAUAUAUCAGAAUGGUCAUUAGACUUGAGCUUUUACUAAUUUGACCCACCCAUUCUAACCAUCAUGAAAAAAGAAUUACACCAAAUUUAAUUUCUCUACUACUAGAUCCAAAACUAAUGAAAAACAACCAUACUCCUCAUGAUUAGCAUAUUCUUUAUGAUGUGUAGGUCAAUUUAGUAAAAACCUAGAUCUAUUUAAUAUUCUCAUAUAUAUAUAUAUAUAUAUAUAUAUAUAUUAUUAGAUUAACCUAAAAGUAUAAUAAAAUGGUUCAUGUGAUACGAAUUAAAUUUGGAGGUUGUAAUAUGUACAUAUAUUUAUGUAUUAAGUGUAUUUUUUUUGAGCAUGGUAAAACCAAAGAUUGUCAAAAAAAUAUAGCUAUAUUUAUUUUAUCAAUAUAAUAACAAUGAUAAUAAUUUCAAUGACAUUAAGAUGCUUUUUACCUUAAAUUGGAAACAUGCCUCUCACAAAAUAUAAUGCAACAAUCUAAUCAUUUUAUAAAAAAUGUUUUUUUUUGGUAGUCAAACAAAUUCUAUCAUAAUUUAACAAAUAUAUUCACACAUACAUACACACACACAUAUAUAUAUAUAUAUAUAUAUGUUCAAUGGAUAGUCGAAUUCUGUUCAACAAUUAAAAAAGGUUAUAGCAUUAACCUUUAGCUACAAUUCAUUAAUAUCUACCCACUUAGAUUUGGUUUUUGUUUUUUUACUCUUUUGUGUUUUUGAUUUUGUUUUUGUUUUUCUUAGUGUUAUAAUGAUUCAUUAUUAUUAUUAUUACUAUUAAAAAGUGAAAAUGCGGUUAUAUAGGGGGGGCUAUCAGACAAUGUGACAUCAGCCAAAUUAGAAGGGGGGCGCAAUGAAGUCAUAAAACUCAGGGGCCAGUCUCCAUCAAUGCAGUAGAGUACUACCCCACUAGAAAUAGUUCCCCCUUCACACUCGUCGUCUUUCCACGUCCUCCACGUCCUCGUCGUCGUCGUCGACGUUGUCUUCGUCUCAGUCGUCGUCGUCGUCGUCACUGUGAGGUGCUGCUGUUCACCCUCUUUCUUUCUCUCUCUCUCAAACUGCUUCGCAGUAUUCCUCUCCUCUCUCGAUUCUUUCUUUCUCGUUCUCACUUGGCAGGCAGUGCGUCCCGCCAUCGCCAUGGCUGCUGCGCUUGAGCUGUUGCGUCUCCUCCUGGCCCUCCUCCUCCUGUCCUCUUCCUCUUCCGCUCGUCCUCUUGCUCCUCCUCGUCGCCUCCUCACUGCCAAUGUUUCCCGCAAUUAACUACAGUGUGUGUGUGUCUUGGUGCUCUGCAUCUGUGUUUUGGUUUGUGGUGUGCAUGUACGUGCUUCCCUUUUUAUUUUUAUUUUUGUUUUCAAUUUGGUCAGGGGCAGCGAAAGUGCGUCUACAAGCUCAGAUCAGUCAGGGUGUGUGUGUGUGUGAGAGAGAGAGAGAGUGUGAGCGUUUUUGUUUUGUUUUGUUUUGUUUUGUGUUUGUAUGUUUUGUUUUGUUAAUAUUAUAGCUCUUCUCUUGUCUGUCGUUGUGAUAUGUGGUGGAGUGGAAAUGCGGAAGUGUGGACGGUGCGUUGUGGAAGCGGAGUGAGAUUUGUUGGAGGGAUUGGAUACGUCGAAAGUUGACGUGUGAUGGUGUCCGUGCUGAUCACUUACGUACUUGUAUGGUUGUGUGACGUGCCUGAGGGGGUCGUUAACGUGGGCAUGGCUCCGGCGUUUCUUUGAAGGUCCAAGAACGAGCAUAGAGACUUCGUCAAGAUAGCACAUCUGCAUGUACCGCUCGGCAUGGUUUAAAAUUCUCUUUUCAAUCAAACAUAGCGCGUCCAGUUCUCGAGUAACCUAGACUUCAAGCUCAUUCUGGAGAGAAAUGAACUUUGACGGACGCUACAGUUGGGAAACACCGUGAAGCGGCGAGGAGGAGGUGAAAACGGAUUUAUUUUCGCCUUUUGGCUGAAUAUAUUUCUUCCUUUGACCACCGUCGUUCGUUAUCUAUCAGGGGGGGAGAAAAAUCAGUUGAAAUAUCAUCGUCAAGUUGUCGUAGUUGUUACAAUUUAGCGCGCUUUGCCAUUCCUUAUUCAAUCUCUCGUUUGUACUUGAUCUUGAGACUGUCCCUCCUCUGUGUGAGAGUACCCACGCCUGUGUGUGGCAACAGUUUCCAACAAGUAUUUGAGGAUCGAGGAAUGCGGUGGUUACAGCGGUUGGACAUUGACAUAGUAGGUCGGAUGCUGUUGGUUGGUAUAUAGCAGCUGCGGGGACUGUGAGAAGGUGCCGUUGAGUAUGAUGUCUGGUUGUGGUGGAGGAUUGUGGUGAACACUGAUCUUGGCUAGAUAUGUGUUAUUGAAGCCACGGAUGAUGUGCUAGGGCGUGCUUACACUUAUGACAUGAUACCGUGCUGGUUGCAUCGCUGCAUGCUGCUCGGGCCGGAAUUUCUGCUCUGGAGUUUGUUACACCCUGGAUAGCCAAGCUUGAAAGGGGUUUCGGAGUCGGUUAAGGGGUAGAAGGAGGAGGAGAUAUUGUCAAAGUUGCGUGGGGAGGAGUUGAGUACUGUAGCAAGAAUCUUUUAGAAAAGUAUGCAUAUGUGUAUGAGAGAGAGAGAUAAGAGGUGGGAGCUUUGAUGGCAACACUUCUGAUGCGGACCUCCGAGCUGGCUGGUACGGAGAAGGUGGUCAUUGGGAACGUAGAGCGCGCUAGGCUGCACAAUGAGAAGGCUCUCGGUCAGGGUGAACAGGAAGGACAUCAAAAAACAUCGGCCGAAGGCCGCAGUAGGGCAAGGAAGGGCAAGUGUGGGCAGAAGAAGCUGCCACAGCGGGGUCUGGGAGUGGCACAGCUGGAGAAGUUGAGGUUGCAGGAACAGAGUAAGCAAGAAGCUGCUUGUCUAGCAUCGCUACGAAGCUUGCCGUCCCUCGGGUUCACAGAUCAGAAUCAAAAUGGUGGCAUGUUCUUCCGACACCUUAAAGGUGCCAUCUACCAUAAUCACAACACCAACCGUGGCAGUGGCCUGCCUUUCGGGAACGGUCGCUUUGGACCCCCCGACAAGCUCGUGGAGUAUCUUUCCAGGGAAGGUCAUCGGCACGUUGGAACUGGUACCAGGGAUGAGGACAUAUUUCGGACUCUAAUGUCGCUAGCUUCCACUGGGCACUCUAGAUCAGCUUCACUUCCUCACCACGAGCGAGGCCCCUCUAUUUCCAGCAUGCUGCCUCGUCGCAAAGAUGACUGCGACACGUCUUUCGUAUGCAAUAAUACGCACACUGAGAUUCUGGGCAAUAAAGUGCAUGCACCCCAUUCCAGUGCUAAUGAUCCUAGCACUGAGGGAUCACCUGCUAGGCGAGCACCUUGUGCCCUGGCUUGGGUUGCUUCCUCUCCAAACUCCAUCAGGAAGCCCUCCUUCUUUUCCAGUGAACUGGUGAACCGAGCCAGCCCAGUUGACAGCCAUGCAUCCAAUGUGGAGAUGGGGGGCGAGAAGUGGUCGUCUCCAAACGUGGACACACUGAAGGAGUCUGUGCCGCACGUUUUGUCCCCCGUGUCCAACAACGAUGUGGUGGAAGUUGGAGUGAUGAAUGCCAAGCUUUUUCCAGUGGUUGUGAAGGAUGUUGCGGGGGCACCAGUAUUCACUUUGACCAACGUACAAUGUUACGAAUCCUCUCAAGACCCCGCAAUUGUUGGUCGCCUUCCACGAGAUCGCACUAAUGUACCCGUCGUGGUAUGUGCUUCUUCCUCAUCUGCUUUGUUUAAUGGCAGCUAACAUCUUUCUUCUCACCUCUGUUCGAUUACGAUAAUUUGUACGUGAAGUAGGUUUCAUAAAUUAAAUUCAUAGUUUUGUUGAUAUAUUCAUAGUUUACUUAUUUAAUAUACAGGAAACUAGGAAUUAUUGUUAUUUUAGAGUCGGUUACUUCUCGAUGUUCUCAUAUGAGUUCUUGGAGUAUGCAGGAUUUUGGUGUGGCAACUGACACAGAACUGAUUGUUGAAACUUUGUUGGUUGAGUAUCAGGUGGGCGCUACAUCAAAUAGCGACAGGCCUAAGGAGCUCUCUUCUUUCCAAAGCUUUUCAAGCAAACACUCAUGGUCUCCCCCACAUAAGGUCGGUUUCUCUGGCCAAGCUCUUCCAAAUUGUGCCGUUGCAAUUUUUUUAGGAUUCUGAACAAGUCGUGAGUUUCAAACCUAUACCCUUGAUGUUGAAAAAUUAGUAUAAAAGGUGAGAUUUGGUUCAAUAAUGUGCUCUUCGUUGCAAUCUUUUAAAUCAGUUCUUGUUGUCGUAUGGGCAGUCAAGUGGGUGGAAACGACCAUGGCAGGCUCUCCAUGAGCUCACGUGUAAAGUUCAACAGUCCGAUAUUAUGGACCUGAAUGGUGAAAUCGAUGCAUCUGAUAAGGACUUUGGCUGCGGGGGCGUACCUCAAAGUCAACAACAGAGCGCAGCAGAAACACAUCAUUCCGACGGCAUCGUACGGUGCGUAAAAGUUUCUGCCACCUAGUUACGAUAUCGUUAUCCAUGCUGCAAAGAUUUACUUCAGCAUGGUGGCCUUGUCUCCUUGCCCCUACACAGCUUGGUGUUUGUGUCUCCUCUUGUUGUUGUUGCACCUAUUGUACGGACUGAAAACUAUGGUCAUCAUAAAAUUUUCUCCAAUAUUGCAGGAUUGUAUCAAAAGAUUCCUUACCUAGCCUUCCAAAGAUCAGAGUGUGUGAGUCAUGCGACGAUAACCGGUCUUCAAAACGAAUUACUGUUCGUGAUGUGAGCUUCUGUUCAGAUGAAGCCCUUUUCAAAGGUUGUCGCAAAAGUGAAUCGAAGAGUAAGGAUAAUUGUUCUAUUUUCUUUCCUCCUGGUUCCCUGAUUCCGAAUUGGCGGAGAUGUUUAUCCAGCCCUGAAAUUCCACUUUUUGCCGGGUCCGACCACCAGAAGUCGGGGGAUUUUCUCACUCUGGGACUUUCUAGUUAUCCUACAAGCCUCCAUCUUGAAGUUGAAGCAAGUAGCCCAGACGCAGUAGUACCUGAAGGAAAUCUUAAGAUCAAACAGAUGGACAUACGAUCUGCCAAAGAAUGCCACGACGUUCAUCUUCAGAUGCACAACCUUCUGCAGGUAAAUGCUACAUCCUUGAUUCUAGUGAUACAAUUCUGCUUUACUUCGGUUUUUGCAACAGUAUUUUCGAAGGGAGUUUACAGGCUGGUUAUCAAUUUAGUCGAUAUCGAGGGGUGUAUCAGGCGAAGAAGCGGCGGGUUCCUGUUCAGAGGACUAUGAAAAUGAAUGUUGAGAACCUCCUAAAGUUACCUUGAAAAUGAAAAAAGAAGAGGGAAAAAAAAAAGGGGGAACUUUCUGGCUCUUGUGAGAAGGUAUGUCAUUCACACUAACUUUUGUGCACGCUAGGUGCAGAAUAUGAAACCCUACUCCCCUUGUGUGAGGAACGAGCUCGUCAGUGGUGAGGGGCCAACUGCACAUGCACACCUCGGCUACAAAAUCUCUUCGUUAGCAUCUGGUGGACCGACCGAGCCCUGCCACUGGCAAACUGGGAGAAAAAAGGAAGAGUCCUUGGAUUUAAGGCUGAAAUUGGCAUUGUGAGCGCUCAUUGACAUCUUCAGAUUGGCAGUAACUUGCCCAUAUGGUUAACAUAUCGGUAAUUAUCAGUAAAAGUUCGAAGCUUGGUGCUAAGAAGCAUUGUUUUGUGCCGUUGUAAACUAGACGACUGUGCUCCUCAUCAAUCUUUUUUCAAACGGAGAGGUGUGAGCGGAACUGCUUAUAAUCUUUGUACAAAGCUUAUUCCAUUUCGAGUGUCUUUUUAUUAUGUGGGAGUAACAACAUACGUUAGCAGUAAUAUCGAGUCUUAGUUCUUCCGAGACAUAUUUUCUCGCAUUUUUUUCAGUCGAAGUCACAAUCUUUCCUGCUGUAUUUGGCCUGGAGGCAAGAGGUACUUAACGGAAAGUCCUCUGAAGGCGGCCAGGAAAAGGUGGUUGUGGCUCAGUUGUGUUGCAGUUGUUCCUAUUGGUCACAAACAGAGCACGGUAUUACUAGAAACUUUGAAAAGACUCCUGGUAUGAAGUGCAUUGUAAGGAGAACCAAACUUCUUCCUGUUUUUUUAUUUUUUUACUUCCCCUGCACUGUGAGCUUUUUGCGACACACGCUUCUUGACAUGGAAAUGAGUCAAGAUUCUCACAAACCUUACUCUGCUGGAAAUUUGGAAGUGAUUUGAUAUGAUUCAGGAGGAAGAAGAGAGCUGAUCAUGUAUCUCACUUGGAUCUUGCAACGCGUUGGGACGAGUCGGUAAAAGUCUGCCUGCUCCUCGUCAUUCUUCAAAUGAAGUGAUUUUUUUGUUUUUUUUUUCUUCUUCCAAUAAUCAGAUACCCUUGUGCGACGCAGGACUACACUUACGUUGGUAUAUUCCUCCAACAUCGUCGUCUAAUUCUUCGAACAUGUUAAUAAACAAAAAUAAGAAACAGCAAGCCCUGGGAGCCACUGUAUGCGUAAUACACUUCUAAGUCUCUCUGUUGUAGUAGUGGCUAACUGGACGCCAACAUUGUGGUCAUCAGCAGCCGUUGCAGGAGGGGGCAGUGGGUGCACACAUGCUUUUACAUAAUGUAAGCAGGGAAAGUCCCUUUUUUUUUUUUUUUUUUUUUUUUUUUUGACACAAAUAGAGUUACAUCUCUAUUAUAGGUCAUUAAAAAGUUACAAACCCCAACCAAGUUUGGUUAGGGGUAUUAGAUAUUUACCUAUAUACUAUUGAUGAAUGUAUCAAUUGGUCCUAAUAAUUUCCAUUUGGGUUUGUUACCUGCCCAUGUUGCCAAGGUUCCAUUCACACACCACUGGUGACAAAAAAGUAGAGAAUAUUUUGAAACUUGAAGGAGACUAUGUUUUAUGCACACUUGUAUUUUGAUCUAGGAAUUCCUUUUGUAAUCAACUAAUUUUAGUCAUAUUGUGUGCUUUACUUGUUUGUGGAACAACAUGAACUCGUUAAAUGUUGCAUCAUUUCUUUCUACUCAAAGUACCUACAUGACUACCUUGCAAUACAUAAGUUAGACUUGACUAACAUGUUUGAAUCUUUUGGAGAUGCAAUAUGCAAAGAUACAGUGAAUCCACAAAGGGGUAAAUACUGUGAGUCAUUGAGACUUCUCAUGCUCCCUUCUUAUAUGACAUCAAUCCAAAGAAAAACUUCUUGUCUAUCCCUGCCUAAGUGCCUUUGUCUCUUUUGAAGACUAGUCCAAGACUUUGUCCAAGAUCUUUGGUGCUACUCAAAAAUUCAUCAAGAAUUUCUUUGAAUGUAACCCACAUUGUUAUUUUCAUGCCAAUAGAGUUGCUCGAGUUGAAUCUUGCCAUUUAUGGUUGAAAAAUGCAUGUGCCUCACUAUGAAAUGUGUAGAAUUUGCUUAAGGAUCUUCUGAGAUGUAACUUAGUCUUUGCUCACUAAUUGAAAAAAUCCAUGCCCAAACUCUUUGUACAUCCUUUCUUAUCUUUGUUCUCAAUUGCUUGCAAGGUUUUGUUGAAAAGUUAUUCUUUAAUAAAAUAAGCAAUGAUAAUGCAUCAUUGUAAAUGGUUCAUUUGUGCCUUUAUUUUUUCCAUGCCCAGAAGCACCUCAAUCACAUGAGUAUUCAGUAAAAAAAUCUAAUACUACUAUGAGAUAAGUCCUUGGGAAGAACUUCACAUAGAGUGGCAUGGAUCAAAUUGAUGGAUGCAAACUUGCUUAGACUUGUUGUCAUAACUAUUAACUCUUACUCCACUUGAUCAUGCAUGUGUGCUCUCAUCUCAUCCCCAGGAAAGUCCUUUUCGGGUUCAUUGUUUUCUGGUAGGUGGAGGAUUGAUGUGCAGCAUGCCUGUUCCUUACUUUUCUUGUCUCUACUUCACCGCUCCCCAAAUGUACAACAACCUUGCAGCAGCAGAAGCGUAUACAACAAGAUGAAAGAUACUAGAUCCCUAGUCCAUUCAUGUGGAUGGUAAAGUAUCCAUUCCACUGUGUUCUAGUUUCUGCAAGUCAACCGCCUGAGUCAGACAAAGUACCUUAUAAUUUGAGUUCAACAGCUUUCUGCGCCAAAGCAUAAUCACUUGCAAUUAUGCCCCACCCCUCUCCCAGGUGAGGAGGGAGGAUCCUCAGGCACGCUGCAGUAGGUUAGAUUGAUAGAUCGUGGGCGGCUAUCCCUCGAGAGAUUAGACCAAAUUAAUAACGCAAUAUCUGAGUUUCCCCGUAACUCCUCCCGCAGAGGGCGAUCAGCAUAUCUAGGUGCUGGAUAAGGAUAAUCAACCCAUCAAUCCCUGCCGCUUGUCGCAUCCGCUUGUCGCCGCGCCGGAGAGGGUUCCAGCCCCUCCCCUUGCCGAAGUACAAGCUUACUCUGCUGAGCCGUGCCACAUUCAUGGACCCCAAAUUUAGGGCAGCCUGGAAAUCUGGCCUGCCCACCUGGCCAAGGCGUUUGUAGGAGGGGUGUAAUAAUGAAUCCCCCUUCCCACACCUCCCUCCACUUCUCCAGCUUUGUAAAAGGUGUGAGGCCUGCAAGAUCUUUGUCCCCACUUCCAUGGACCUCACCAUUGACUUCAUACAGUGGUCCUUGGCUUCCUCUUGGGAGUUGCCCCACAGCCGGCAACGAGGGGGGUUUGUCCUUGGCGUGAGGUGGAGAAGGUAAAGCCGGGUGGCGUAGCAAAGGAACUCCUCCACUGAUUCUCACUUACUCUCUCACUCUCCCUCCAUCACGCGAUUUGAGGAUGCACUUGCCUGCCCCACUGUCUGUUCCAGUGCUAUUCAUUCCCCCCUUGGAUCCCUCUUACCGCGUCCCAAGAUUCUUCCCCCUUCUCCGCAACUACAGCGCUCCGUAUCUAACCUCCUCCCUAUGUCUAUAUCUAUGUGUGUGUGUGUGUGCACGUGUGUUUCCUAUCUCGCUCUAACAAGCUCUGGUUCUGUGUUCACCUCUGGCGCUGUGCAUUUCGUUGCGACAGGUUUUGUAGGAUUUUUUAAAGCAAAUUAGGGUUCGUGUGUUUUAUAUAUAUAUAAAACAUGAAUGAUAAAGUAACCUAAUUUUUUACUAAAUUUAUCCAUAUGUUUAAACCAUCAUUGUACCCUUUCCACUCCAUUUCUAGCCAUUCCCUUUUUUCAACCAUCGCCCCCGUUCUCAACAUUUCCAACCUUCCACCCCCUAUUCUUAACAAUGGUUGGAAAUGGGGAACAGUUGGGAACAAGGAUGGAAGUUGCAAGGGUGCAAUGAUGGUUAAGAUAGAGUGGGUUGUUUUAGUAAAAAUUUGAGUCACUUUAUCAUUCUCCGAUGUAUAAUACAAAGUAUUUGAAUAUAGAAUUGUUAGUGAGCUACAUAUAAGGAGGAUGGGAUAAAUAAAAAUCACUAAGAAAUGAUAUAAAUAUUCAAAGAUUUUCAUGUGGAAGAUUACUCGUUACAUGAUAGUAAUAAGAUGUUAUUGAAUAUAUAAAAACUUCACAAAUAGAGGUAUUGUUAUUGCACAAAAACAUACAAAAUAAUUUUUCCAUGCAUAUUAUUAUUUUAAAAAUAAAUAAUGUUUGUAUCUAAUGAAUGCAAAAGCAAGGAGAUUGAAAGCAAGUAUAGAUAUAAGUACUCUAAUUGUUGUGAUUUCCUCUAUCCUAUUCAAAUGUCAAAUGAAUAUUGUAUUUAAAAACUAAUUGUAGUAAGGGAACAUUUACAAGAUUGAAUAUUAAACAAAUGUACAAACAUAAGAAUUAUAAAGAAAGUAGAAUAUAUGGUAAUGAAAAGAUAGACAUCAAUUACUAUGUUAGGCUUGGAUAGAAAGAGAUAACCAACAUUUGUAGACAUACAUUAUUUCUUUUUGUUGGCUAUGCAAUAUAUUUGUACAAAUUACAAAUGAAUUUAUUUAGGAUAUUGUUAAUGCUAUCACAAUUUUUGCUACUGCUACUAUUAUUUGUCAUCUAUCACAUGGCACUACAAUUUUUGCUAUUUUCACAACUUACCAUCCAUUCUAUAUAUUUUUUUAGUUUCAUUUUUUUAUUCCAAUUUAAAAAAUGUUUGUACUUCAAGUUUUUUUUCUUUUGUUCAAAUUAUACAAAAAAUACACUUAUUUUUAGUAAGAAUAAUUAAAAUUUUAAUAAAAAUAAGUUGUGGUCAUAGUAGCAACAAUUAUGGUGGCAUGCAGUGGAUAAAAAAUGUAGUGGCAAUAGCAAAAAUUAUGGUGAUGUUAGCAAUACUCUUUUUCAUUAUAUAUAUAUAUAUAUACAUAGA